GACUUACUGGACCUGACUGAGGCAAAGCUUCACAAUGAAAUCUGCAAGUGAUGGCGAGGCACAGGACUGGCUACAGGAAGUGGCCAAUCGGGAAGAUAUCUAGAGCCGGACAAGCCAUGGCACAGUACUUAGAGAUACUAGAGAGAUGUGCUAACUGUUCCCAAAGAGGCCAGAAGAGGGCAUCAGAUUCCCCCGGGACUGGAGUUAAGAAAUGAUUGUCAGCCACUACCAUGAUAAGGAAGCGUUGCCGUGAACUCUGAGGCCCUCGGAACAAUGUCGAGGACCGUGGGGAUGGGAGGAAGGGAGAGAGGACAGCUUUGGGCGUCCUCAGAUUGAUCACAGUGGGAGACAGGGCUAAGUCUCCAUGUUCUCUGCACCUUGUGACUCUGCCCGGCUCUCCUCACCCGUGGUCGUCACCAAGGCUGUGCAAAGGCUAUAUUUAGCACCAUAACAGGCCGCAUAACCGACUCUGAAGAUGUCCACAUAGCAUCCCGAUAGCAGAAGGGGCUUUACUGAUCUGAUUAAGGAUGCAGAGACAGGGAGGGUAGCUAGGAUCCCUUUUUAAAAGGGAGGCAGAGGGAGAUCUCAACCACAGUUGUAAUAACAAGAAGUCUGGGUGGU